GGAAUAUUGGUCAAUGGUCGGAAGACUGAACCAGCCAAGUAGCGUGCAGGAUGACGGCCCUAUGGGUUGUAAACUGCUUUUGUGCGGGAAUAACGGUCUCCUCGUGAGGGGAUGUGCAUGUACCGUACGAAUAAGGAUCGGCUAACUCCGUGCCAGCAGCCGCGGUAAUACGGAGGAUCCGAGCGUUAUCCGGAUUUAUUGGGUUUAAAGGGAGCGUAGGCGGGAAGUCAAGUCAGCUGUGAAAUGUAGAUGCUCAACGUCUGCACUGCAGUUGAAACUGGUUUUCUUGAGUGCGUAAGAGGCAGGCGGAAUUCGUCGUGUAGCGGUGAAAUGCUUAGAUAUGACGAAGAACUCCGAUCGCGAAGGCAGCUUGCCGGGCCGCAACUGACGCUGAAGCUCGAAGGUGCGGGUAUCGAACA
rnacentral:rRNA from 1 species